UACGGGGGGGGUAAGCGUUGUUCGGAAUUACUGGGCGUAAAGGGCUCGUAGGCGGCCAACUAAGUCAGACGUGAAAUCCCUCAGCUUAACUGGGGAACUGCGUCUGAUACUGGAUGGCUUGGAUUCGGGAGAGGAAUGCGGAAUUCCAGGUGUAGCGGUGAAAUGCGUAGAUAUCUGGAGGAACACCGGUGGCGAAGGCGGCAUUCUGGACCGAUAUUGACGCUGAGGAGCGAAAGCCAGGGAGCAAAGCGG
rnacentral:rRNA from 1 species